AUUGAACGCUGGCGGCAGGCUUAACACAUGCAAGUUGAGCGGAGAGGUAGCUUGCUACUGAUCUUAGCGGCGGACGGGUGAGUAAUGCUUAGGAAUCUGCCUAUUAGUGGGGGACAACAUUUCGAAAGGAAUGCUAAUACCGCAUACGUCCUACGGGAGAAAGCAGGGGAUCUUCGGACCUUGCGCUAAUAGAUGAGCCUAAGUCGGAUUAGCUAGUUGGUGGGGUAAAGGCCUACCAAGGCGACGAUCUGUAGCGGGUCUGAGAGGGUGAUCCGCCACACUGGGACUGAGACACGGCCCAGACUCCUACGGGAGGCAGCAGUGGGGAAUAUUGGACAAUGGGCGGAAGCCUGAUCCAGCCAUGCCGCGUGUGUGAAGAAGGCCUUAUGGUUGUAAAGCACUUUAAGCGAGGAGGAGGCUACUUUAGUUAAUACCUAGAGAUAGUGGACGUUACUCGCAGAAUAAGCACCGGCUAACUCUGUGCCAGCCGCCGCCGUAA
rnacentral:rRNA from 1 species